GGGAAUUUUGCGCAAUGGGCGAAAGCCUGACGCAGCAACGCCGCGUGGGGGAAGAAGGCUCUCGGGUCGUAAACCCCUUUUGCCGGGGAAGAUCGUGACGGUACCCGGCGAAUAAGCCACGGCUAACUACGUGCCAGCAGCCGCGGUAAUACGUAGGUGGCAAGCGUUGUCCGGAUUUAUUGGGCGUAAAGCGCGCGCAGGCGGUCCGUUAAGUCCGAGGUGAAAUCUCCCGGCUCAACUGGGAGGGGUCUUCGGAUACUGGCGGACUUGAGGAGAGCAGAGGUGAGUGGAAUUCUCGGUGUAGUGGUGAAAUGCGUAGAUAUCGAGAGGAACACCAGUGGCGAAGGCGACUCACUGGGCUCAACCUGACGCUGAGGCGCGAAAGCGUGGGGAGCAAAC
rnacentral:rRNA from 1 species